CCCGCAAGCUGAAGAAGCUGGGUAACCUGAAGACGCAAGAUGACAUGGAGGCAGCCAGCUCAUCCAGCCCCACGGAGGAGCAAGCUCCCAAGAUGGUGAUGACGCGCAUUGAUGGGUACGAGUGCCAGCCCAUCUUCCUCAAUGUCCUGGAGGCCAUUGAGCCUGGCGUGGUGUGUGCCGGCCACGACAACAGCCAGCCGGACUCCUUCUCCAACCUGCUGAGCAGCCUGAACGAGCUCGGGGAGAGGCAGCUGAUCUACGUGGUCAAAUGGGCAAAGGCCUUGCCGGGUGAGAAGGAACGCUAA